rnacentral:rRNA from 1 species
AUUGAACGCUGGCGGCGUGCUUAACACAUGCAAGUCGAGCGGUAACAGGCGUAGCAAUACGUGCUGACGAGCGGCGAACGGGUGCGUAAUACAUGGGAAUCUGCCUUUUAGUGGGGAAUAACCCGGCGAAACCCGGGCUAAUGCCGCAUAAGAUCUUCGGAUGAAAGCGGGGGAUCGUAAGACCUCGAGAUGAUAGAUGCGCACAUGCCGGAUUAGCUAGUUGGUGAGGUAACGGCUCACGAAGGCGACGAUCCGUAGCUGGUCUGAGAGGACGGCCAGCCACACUGGGACUGAGACACGACCCAGACUCCUACGGGAGGCAGCAGUGGGGAAUAUUGGACAAUGGGGGAAACCCUGAUCCAGCGACGCCGCGUGUGUGAAGAAGGCCUGCGGGUUGUAAAGCACUUUCGGUGGGAACGAAAUAUGCCGGGCUAAUACCCCGGUAGGCUGACGUUACUCAAUGAAGAAGCACCGGCUAACUCUGUGCCAGCCGCCGCAGUAAAAC